rnacentral:snRNA from 1 species
AUUCCUUCUUGGCCUUCUGGCUAAGAUCAAGUGUAGUACCUGUUCUUAGCAGUUUAAUAAAUUCUCUUCACUGUUCGCUUUAUUUCUAGGGUUCUUUUUGUUAUAACUGAAAUCAUUCUAACUGGUGCAUGGAGGUUUAUUCUUGUAAUUUAAAUACAAGUGAGUCCUAAUAGGGACCUCUGCUGUCACUGAGAGCCCACCUUAU